AGACUCCUACGGGAGGCAGCAGUGAGGAAUAUUGGUCAAUGGGAGAGAUCCUGAACCAGCCAAGCCGCGUGAGGGAAGACGGCCCUAUGGGUUGUAAACCUCUUUUGUCGGAGAACAAAACCCGGGACGAGUCCCGGACUGCGUGUAUCCGAAGAAAAAGCAUCGGCUAACUCCGUGCCAGCAGCCGCGGUAAUACGGAGGAUGCGAGCGUUAUCCGGAUUUAUUGGGUUUAAAGGGUGCGUAGGCGGUCCGUUAAGUCAGCGGUAAAAUUGCGGGGCUCAACCCCGUCGAGCCGUUGAAACUGGCAGACUUGAGUUGGCGAGAAGUACGCGGAAUGCGCGGUGUAGCGGUGAAAUGCAUAGAUAUCGCGCAGAACUCCGAUUGCGAAGGCAGCGUACCGGCGCCAGACUGACGCUGAGGCACGAAAGCGUGGGGAUCGAACAGGAUUAGAUACCCUGGUAGUCCACGCAGUAAACGAUGAAUGCUGGUUGUCCGGGUCGAAUGAGA
rnacentral:rRNA from 1 species